rnacentral:rRNA from 1 species
ACGAACGCUGGCGGCGUGCUUAACACAUGCAAGUCGAGCGGUAAGGCACCUCGGGUGUACACGAGCGGCGAACGGGUGAGUAACACGUGAGUAAUCUGCCCUUCACUUCGGGAUAACCGCCGGAAACGGUGGCUAAUACCGGAUACGACGCACUCUUGCAUGAGAUGUGCGUGGAAAGUCUUCUCGGUGAAGGAUGUGCUCGCGGCCUAUCAGCUUGUUGGUGAGGUAAUGGCUCACCAAGGUCUUCGACGGGUAGCCGGCCUGAGAGGGUGACCGGCCACACUGGGACUGAGACACGGCCCAGACUCCUACGGGAGGCAGCAGUGGGGAAUAUUGGACAAUGGGCGAAAGCCUGAUCCAGCAACGCCGCGUGAGGGAUGACGGCCU